ACGCUUGACACCUACGGGAGCAGCAGUGGGGAAUAUUGCACAAUGGGGGAAACCCUGAUGCAGCGACGCCGCGUGAAGGAUGAAGUAUUUCGGUAUGUAAACUUCUAUCAGCAGGGAAGAAAGUGACGGUACCUGACUAAGAAGCCCCGGCUAACUACGUGCCACAGCCGCGGUAAUCUGAGCGGGCUGGCAAGGC
rnacentral:rRNA from 1 species